AGCGAACGCUGGCGGCAGGCCUAAAACAUGCAAGUCGAACGAACCCUUCGGGGUUAGUGGCGGACGGGUGAGUAACACGUGGGAACGUGCCCUUUGGUUCGGAACAACUCAGGGAAACUUGAGCUAAUACCGGAUGUGCCCUUCGGGGGAAAGAUUUAUCGCCAUUGGAGCGGCCCGCGUCUGAUUAGCUAGUUGGUGGGGUAAAGGCCCACCAAGGCUACGAUCAGUAGCUGGUCUGAGAGGAUGAUCAGCCACACUGGGACUGAGACACGGCCCAGACUCCUACGGGAGGCAGCAGUUAGGAAUCUUGGGCAAUGGGCGGAAGCCUGACCCAGCCAUGCCGCGUGAAUGAUGAAGGUCUUAGGAUCGUAAAAUUCUUUCAGCGGGGACGAUAAUGACGGUACCCGCAGAAGAAGCCCCGGCUAACUUCGUGCCAGCCGCCGCGGUAAGAC
rnacentral:rRNA from 1 species